CUUGCGCGAGGUACACGGCCAUAUAGACGCUUGAAUUGUCUACUGCGCAGUCGCCCGUUAAAAGGUGUAGCGGUCGUUGUGUGUGCUUUGCUUACUUCCAUGCACUUGCUACAACCGGCCCCUCGGACAGCUGUAUAUUUUCUAUAGCCCACGAAUUUCAUGUUUUCGUCAACCCCCUCUCAUCUAUAUGCAACACCUUACGCUACGCAGAACCUGUUCAUUCGCUCAGCAUUCGGUUUUCCGUUAUAUCGAUAAUUUUUCAGUAUAAAUUUAGCGUCCCGUUACGAAAGCCAUAGCUAUUUUAGCGCGCAUAAGUUAAGUUAAGUUUGUAUAUUUUAUCUUUUACACAACGUUCGUUUGUUUCCCGCAUCAGUUUUCACAGCAUGCCUGGCUACAGAAGCCGUGACAUUGAACAGAAAGUAAGAAAACUGUAUUUGGACAAGGUCUAUGGUAAAUUAAAAGCGGAACGUAUUGGCGCAAUAUAUUAUUUAUGGCGUCACAAGGAUUUUACACAGGCGUGAUAUGCACACUAACAAACCACCAUGAUGGCACGUUUCGAGCGCCCGAUCUACGAUAUCGCAGGACUGUUUACAAGUUUAAGUAUCUUUCAACAAACUAUGUAUGAUUUUUUGCCACGAUGGCAUAACAAAACACGUGUAUUCCUUCUAGUUGUGUCAACACCACAUCGCAUCCUCGCGAGGAAAGUGACACUGGUUAGAUAAUUUCAACUUUGUAUCAGAUAAAAAGAAAUAACAAUGGGUACUAUUUCAGUACUCGAUUGGGUACUAUUUUAGCCAAAACAACUACAUACGUAUAAUUCUUCUGACUAUUAUAUUACCCAUCACUUUGAUUAUUCAGAAAAAAUUAAUAUAGGAUUCACUUUCCCAGUUGACGAUUAAAUAAAUGUCUUGUACGACUAUGUAAUGCGAUAAUUGAAAAUGUAUCGCUUUUCAUGCGAGGGUGCGAUACAACGGGGCAUAGAGGUGACGCACGUAAACAGACGUGCUUUCAGGUUUUAUUCAACGACCGUUGUCGCACUUCGCGAAUGUAAACAAUAGAUUGGACGGGUACUAACGUAUCCCCGAUACACGCCAUGAAGCAAAAUCGUAUCAGUGUCGCAUCACACCCACAGACAUAUCGAGUGUACGGUCUGUUUAUCAGUGCAUUAACCCUUGUCAAUUUUACGUUCGAUAAAUAUCGCGUUUUCGGUUGCUGUUCGUCUCACGCGAAUUUUUACUCGAUCGUAACAAAGUUUCACGCUUGAUUUUCGUGUUAUUCCCGUAAACAGUUUCCACAUAAAACGAUUCAGGACGACCGAUUAUGUUUCUAUAAGGAAAUUCGUAAACAAUGAAGAGUCGAGUCUUCGCUGUUUCUUGCACUUCACGCACAAAAGUUUUGCCACUCUUAAUACAAUCCCCCGUGUACAGUUUCCAUCGCGCUCGUAUUUCUCCCGUGUAAGCUGCUAGAGUGACACUGUAGAACGACGUGAGACAAGGAUGGCGAUAUCGAUUUCAGACGAUGUACGUUAAGCUCCAGCAGGUGGCACGGCCACCAAAGUCCUCGUCUUUAAAGCCACGGUGUUUUUAUCGAAAAAAUUACACGAGCUAAGCCGCCGUGGCGAGGAAUUUGCAGAGACACGGGAAACAGGGGAUGAAAACACACCCUCGAAACUGUCCUUGCUACGAGCGCGCACGCGCUGACCGAUUUAGGUCAUGUGUUACUUGACAGACGAACGCUAGGUUACAUUGCAGGGUUUUCCUUGAUAAAUUACGCGAAAAUCGAAAAUUGUUCACUUAACGAUUUUUUUUAGAGAAGACGUUAAAUCGAUAUAGGUCUUAUUUCGAGGUCUAAUGCGACUCGAGUGCUGCCAGUGGGUCGUGAAAUAGACUAGGUUUUCUAACGUUGACGAGGUCGGGGUAGCUACGCGGAUCCUUGGCCCCGAUGUUGGCAAUCUUUGAAUAAGUGGUACCAGUAGUGUAGCCAGAAGGGUUUGCAUAGGUGUCGAUAGCUUUUUAAGAUUUGUAUCGCAAGAAACGAGUGUUAUCUCGAUUGAUACAAUUUUUUGACAAUAAAUUUUAUAAUUUUA